rnacentral:lncRNA from 1 species
UAGUAACACAAAACUAAAGCUAUGACCGCUAUGAGACAAGUCGAUUAAAGGUGGGAGAAAGAAAUAUAACAGAAGAAGCAGAAUAUAUAAUUUAGUUACCCUCUUCACUAGAGCCAGACAAAGAUGACGCUUAAUAUCCCUCCUGAGAUCCUUGGGCAAAUUCUGAACUAUAUUCUCUUCAUCCACUCCGCGUGUUUCUUGCCAUUUGUACUGAUCAUAGCCCCUAACCCGUUCUCGGAGAUCUUGUGGAAGCAAUCGGUGAUGCAUCCACUGUUCUGAAUCGCGCCUUUUAACUCUCAUCUCCUCGAGUCGAAUAGUAAGAGACUGAAGGUAUGUCUGUGACAGCAAAAUACCAAACUCUUAAGUUACAAUGCCAUUAUCAGAAAUACUUCAAAGAAAUUAAAAGAAACAUCUUGUUGAACAACAGAUUUGAAGCGUUAUGUAAUUUUAUGCGAUGAGAAGAAUCUUAUAUAAGAUGGUAAUUACCUGCAUGUUACCAAUCAACAGACGUGUUUCUUGCCACUUGUACUGAUCAUAGCCCCUAACCCGUUCUCGGAGAUCUUGUGGAAGCAAUCGGUGAUGCAUCCACUGUUCUGAAUCGCGCCUUUUAACUCUCAUCUCCUCGAGUCGAAUAGUAAGAGACUGAAGGUAUGUCUGUGACAGCAAAAUACCAAACUCUUAAGUUACAAUGCCAUUAUCAGAAAUACUUCAAAGAAAUUA